rnacentral:rRNA from 1 species
UAGCGUAGGGUGCGAGCGUUGUCCGGAAUUAUUGGGCGUAAAGGGCUCGUAGGCGGUCUGUCGCGUCGGGGAGUGAAAACUCAGGGCUUAACCCUGAGCCUGCUUCCGAUACGGGCAGACUAGUAGGUGAGCAGGGGAGAACGGAAUUCCCGGUGUAGCGGUGGAAAUGCGCAGAUAUCAGGAGGAACACCGGUGGCGAAGGCGGUCUCCUGGGCAUUACCUGACGCUGAGGAGCGA